GGCCUGUCCAUCCGCAAUGGACGCUGGGAGAUUGAGUUCCCUGUGAGGAAGAGCGAUCGCUAUUCGUGAUCUGUUCCAGCUACGAUUCUGACUUCAGAUUCCUAAUUGUUGGCUCUGAUAUCGGAUUGCAGACUCAAUACUUCUGUGCUCAUUCAUGUCAUAAGAAUGCAGUGGGUAUCAGCAUUUCGAAGGUGAAAGGGGCUCGGAAUGCAUGAGCUGAAAUCUAUGAUCCAAUGUUGACUUGUUCAGAGCUACAACCACCUAUGGGCAUCCUUCUUUAUUGGCCUUGCCUUUGUCAGGGGACCACCUAUGGAUUCAUCUCUGCAGCUAGGAGGGCAACGUUCACUCCCAGUGAUCACUUCAGAGCUGAGGGAAGAGAAGGGGCCAGUUCCAGGAGAAUUAGGAGCCAGAAGAAGGCAGGUAGCUUCACAGCUGGAACAGAUGUUCUGCCUUGGGCCUGCCCAACAGGAAAAAUAUGCAGAGGUUCCGAAAAAAAGAAAAAAAUAUGCAGAGAAAAGCAUCACGCCUAUUAAACAUUUCAGAGUAUGCUCCCUAAGAACAAAGUUGCCAGAAGAAGCAAAAAACGCAAUCAUGGAAAACAGGAAUGAGCGUGAGGCAACAGCUCUGUUUGAGCCACGGUCCACAGUUACAUGUUAUCAAUCUCUCCAAUGUUUUCCAGUUGAGUGUAUAAUCCAAGAUGGUGUGUCUGUGUUUAUCCCUGUCUCCCCAUUCCCCUUUAAUCUGAAACAGUUAAACAUCUUUUCAGUCUUCCUCCAACUUGACAUUUUUUUCUGUCUAUCUUGAACUUGACAUUUGGAAGGUUCUCUAGGCCAGUUACUUUGUAAAUGUCUUUCGGUUUGUUUUAUCUGAUGUUUCCUUGUUCAGAAGCCAACCUUACACUUCUUACAAAAGAAUGGAAUAAAAGCUACAUCCUUGGUGAUUGUCCUCGGGCAUGUGACACAAAUUUUUCAGAAAUAAUCAUAAUGUUAUUAUAAAUGAUAAUGGCUAACAAAGAAACAGAUGUCAGUAACAAUAUCAGAAAGUAAAAUAUUUUA